rnacentral:rRNA from 1 species
AUUGAACGCUGGCGGCAGGCUUAACACAUGCAAGUCGAGCGAGCGGCGGACGGGUGCGUAAUGUCUGGGAAACUGCCUGAUGGCGGGGGAUAACUACUGGAAACGGUAGCUAAUACCGCAUACGAUCAGAUGUGCCCAGAUGGGAUUAGCUAGUAGGGGGGGUAAUGGCUCACCUAGGCGACGAUCCCUAGCUGGUCUGAGAGGAUGACCAGCCAGACUGGAACGGAGACACGGGCCAGACUCCUACGGGAGGCAGCAGGGGCGAAUAUGGCACAAUGGGCGCAAGCCUGAUGCAGCCAUGCCGCGUGUGUGAAGAAGGCCUUCGGGUUGUAAAGCACUUUCAGCUAGGAGGCGUUACUCGCAGAAGAAGCACCGGCUAACUCCGUGCCAGCAGCCGCGGUAAUUC